rnacentral:rRNA from 1 species
CCUACGGGUGGCAGCAGUGGGGAAUAUUGCACAAUGGGGGGAACCCUGAUGCAGCGACGCCGCGUGAGUGAAGAAGUAUUUCGGUAUGUAAAGCUCUAUCAGCAGGAACGAGACAAGACGGUACCUGACUAAGAAGCCCCGGCUAACUACGUGCCAGCAGCCGCGGUAAUACGUAGGGGGCAAGCGGUAUCCGGAAUCACUGGGUGGAAAGGGAGCGUAGACGGCUGAGCAAGUCUGAAGUGAAAGGCGGGGGCCCAACCCCCGGACUGCUUUGGGAACUGUACGGCUGGAGUGCAGGAGAGGUAAGUGGAAUUCCUAGUGUAGCGGUGAAAUGCGUAGAUAUUAGGAGGAACACCAGUGGCGAAGGCGGCUUACUGGACUGUAACUGACGUUGAGGCUCGAAAGCGUGGGGAGCAAACAGGAUUAGAUACCCUAGUAGUC